UAAAAAGGCAUGCCUUCUUUAUUUCCACCUUAGCAAGCACUUCCAUUGGCAAAAAGUGUCACAACUUAAACUUGAUAUUUGUCGAUCUGUAAGAAUAUUAUAUUGACGCAUUAGGAAGUUUUUAAAAUUAGUAUUGCUGGUGAUAACAAGUCAUCAAAAUCUCAUCAAAGUAGCACACCUAAGAUCGCAAACCUCUUAUAUUUCCAUUUUCAACUCUACCAUUCCAUUAUUAUCUUUUUUUAAAAAAAUA
rnacentral:misc_RNA from 1 species